GUGCCGAAGCAAACGCGAUAAGUGCACCGCCUGGGGAGUAUGCUCGCAAGGGUGAAACUCAAAGGAAUUGACGGGGGCCCGCACAAGCGGUGGAGCAUGUGGUUUAAUUCGAUGAUACGCGAGGAACCUUACCAGGGCUUGACAUAUACAGUGAGGCGUGUGAGGGCAGGCUGCCACUUUUGUGGACUGUAUACAGGUGCUGCAUGGUUGUCGUCAGCUCGUGCUGUGAAGUGUUGGGUUAAGCCCCGCAACGAGCGCAACCCCUGCUGUCUGUUGCUACCAGGUAAAGCUGAGGACUCAGGCGGUACUGCCCGUGACAAACCGGAGGAAGGUGGGGACGACGUCCAAUCAUCAUGGCCCUUAUGUCCUGGGCUACACACGUGCUACAAUGGCGAGUACAGAGUGAAGCGAGACCGCGAGGUGGAGCAAAUCACAGAAAGCUUGUCUCAGUACGGAUUGGAGUCUGAAACUCGACUUCAUGAAGGUGGAAUCGCUAGUAAUCGCGCAUCAGCAUGGCGCGGUGAAUACGUUCCCGGGCCUUGUACACACCGCCCGUCGCACCACCCGAGUUGGGGGUACCCGAAGUCGCUUGGCUAACAG
rnacentral:rRNA from 1 species